AUGUCUGGGGUAACACAACGUUUUAGUCAUGCCGCGAAUUCUGCAUCAGCAGAAGCAAUAUGGUGCCGAGGAUUACAACUGGUUAGUGAUAUUGGCUGCUCAAAGAUAAUUGUGGAAUCAGACUAUCUUGAGCUAGUAAAUGCAUGCACUGGAGUUUCAGAUAUAUUGCCCCCCUAUUCUGCUAUUGUGGCUGACAGUUUUCAGCUUGCACAUGAGGUACCAUCAAUUCAGUUCAGGCAUUGUCCCAGGGAAGCAAAUACUUUGGCACACCUAUUUGCUAGGCAUGCUUAUGAUGCUAAUGUAAUGUAUAAGUGGGAUGAUGAGCCUCCUAGUUUUUUAUUACCUCAUGUUCUGAACGAUGUAACAUUGUUAAAUUAG
rnacentral:rRNA from 1 species